CAGAAGGAUAUGAUUGGCUGGAAAUCCAGGCGUCUGCAGUCCUGCACGUCCUCGCCAUAACAACCGAGCUUAAGCUACGUGAUAUCAAAUGCAUUCAUUUCUAUAUAAAAACACAAGGAAUUAAUUGAACUUAUAUUCGACUCCUUGGCUGUGAAGAUGGCAGAAAGCGAGGUGGACACGCCGAGCACCCCGAUAGAGUACGAGAGCAAAUACUUCGAGUAUCAUGGAGUUCGUCUUCCACCUUUUUGUCGAGGGAAGAUGGACGAGAUCGCUAACUUCUCCCUCAGAAGUAGUGACAUAUGGAUUGUUACUUAUCCAAAAUCAGGUACCAGCUUGCUGCAGGAGGUAGUGUAUCUAGUGAGCCAGGGGGUGGAUCCAGAUGAAAUAGGACUCAUGAAUAUUGAUGAGCAACUUCCUGUUUUGGAGUAUCCUCAGCCUGGGUUAGAUAUUAUACAGGAGCUGACAUCACCUCGUCUGAUCAAAAGUCACCUGCCAUAUCGCUUCCUCCCCACAGCCAUGCAUAACGGCGAGGGCAAGGUUAUCUACAUGGCCCGGAAUCCUAAAGACCUGGUGGUCUCCUACUACCAGUUUCAUCGCUCUCUAAGAACCAUGAGCUACCGCGGAACCUUUCAGGAGUUCUGCCGGCGUUUUAUGAAUGACAAGUUAGGAUAUGGCUCCUGGUUUGAGCAUGUGCAGGAAUUCUGGGAACAUCGCAUGGACUCCAAUGUCCUCUUUCUAAAACAUGAGGAUAUGUACAAGGACCUGGGUACACUGGUGGAACAGUUGACACGGUUCCUGGGUAUCUCAUGUGAUAAGGCUCAGCUUGAGAGCAUGGUGGAAAGCUGUAAUCAGCUGAUCGAGCAGUGCUGUAACUCAGAGGCUCUGUCCAUCUGCAGGGGUUUAAUUUUCCUUUAGUGCAUGGAUUCUUUGCUUGUCUUGAUGGUGAGAAGUGAUGAGCAUGCAGUAGGGUCUUAGAUAAACAAUGAGCAUGGAAAAAGAGAGAGAGAAAAGAGUGAAAGAAAGAGAGAGACAGAGAGACAGGGGGAGUGAGAAACAAGGUCGUGUGGGCCUGUGGAAAGACAUCUUCACUGUGUCCAUGAACGACAAAUUUGAUGCUGUGUACCGACAGAAGAUGGGGAAGUCUGAUCUUACCUUUGAUUUUGGUCUGUGAACCAACCACAUGGCAAACUGGACUCUGCUUGACAUUGUCUGCACUCGCUUGAAUGACCCUCAUCCACCUUUCACCGUUUCACCCUUCCCUUAUUUUCCUCACUUAGCUUAUGUGUUAAAAAAAAAACCUAAAAAAAAAAAAAUUAAAAAAAAAAAAGUUGCUCCUCGGUAGACGACUUGAAUCAGCACAUGUAACGCAGCGAAGGGAAAUUUGAUCCAAAGUUGAAUGUAAAGAUAUUUUCCGCCCGGAGCUUCAUCAUCAAGUGUGUUUGCAGUGUGUUUGUGUAAUACAGCGCAUCAGCAUUGCUUUAAAGCUUUAGCCUGGUGACAAGUGUGAGUAAAAAUGCUAGGUGCAUUACAUAUUGUAUAGAUCUCUUCUUAUAGUCUCCAUGAAAUGUAUGAAAUGUAUAUUUAUCAAAUAUGGGAAAUAUAUAUUCAUUUAUAUUCUAUAAACUAAAACCUCAAUACAAAGAGAGAUUAGGAAAUGUUUGCUUGAUUUCUUAGCUUUUCGUAAAUAUAAAUGGCAAGAUGAUAUAUUGUUUAUGCAGUCAGCCAAUCACAGGUCUGUGUCCUGCCACUGAAAGCAUUGACAAAUUGAAAUAUUUGUAAAAUCAAUCAGCUUUGUUUCUUUGUUCUGUUCUGAUUCCUGGCAUUCUGAUAAAUAUUGUUUAUGUUUGCUGAAGUGAACAGCAUUACAGAUUAUGUUUCUACACAAGUGCAUGUAUGCUUGCCAGUU